UACGAAGGGGACUAGCGUUGUCCGGAAUUAUUGGGCGUAAAGAGCUCGUAGGCGGUCUGUCGCGUCGAUCGUGAAAACUUGGGGCUUAACCCUGAGCUUGCGGUCGAUACGGGCAUGACUGGAGUUCGGCAGGGGAGACUGGAAUUCCUGGUGUAGCGGUGAAAUGCGCAGAUAUCAGGAGGAACACCGGUGGCGAAGGCGGGUCUCUGGGCCGUAACUGACGCUGAGGAGCGAAAGCAUGGGGAGCGAACAGG
rnacentral:rRNA from 1 species